CGGCGGGCUAGCCCGGGUAACUCGGCGUUAUCUGUAACCCGAAACCGUCGACAGCGGGGGGCGAAGCCGAAGGAAGAAGUUUUGACUAUUGCAUGACCCACAUGUUCUACUGUGAAACCCCGUCCUAUGGGGCUGGUGUUGGUACAGAGGCUUUCCUGAAGGAAGGUUUUUGUGCCUUAGUUGCGGAAAAAGGUCUAGGCCCGGAAGGGAGCAAACCAGCCGUGAACAACUAUCGCUCAUGGGGGCGCGGGGCGGAGGCGAGCCAGUGGCCAACCAUGCAGUGGAAGAGGCUGCGACCCAAGGCGUGCCUGCUA
rnacentral:SRP_RNA from 1 species